AUUGAACGCUGGCGGCAGGCCUAACACAUGCAAGUCGAACGAGUGGCGGACGGGUGAGUAAUGUCUGGGAAACUGCCUGAUGGAGGGGGAUAACUACUGGAAACGGUAGCUAAUACCGCAUACCAUCGGAUGUGCCCAGCUGGGAUUAGCUAGUAGGUGGGGUAAAGGCUCACCUAGGCGACGAUCCCUAGCUGGUCUGAGAGGAUGACCAGCCACACUGGAACGUGGACCGGGUCCAGACGACUACGGGAGGCGGUAGUGGGUCGUCUUGCACAAUUGGGGAAAGCCUGCUGCAGCCAUGCUCAGUGCAUGAAGAAGGCCUUCGGGUUGUAAAAUACGGCCAGCCGAGCGGCGUUACCCGAAGAAGAAGCACCGGCAAACUACGUGACAGCAGCCGCGGUAAUAC
rnacentral:rRNA from 1 species